GCCGAUGUGGUGGAAUUGGUAGACACGGCGGAUUCAAAAUUCGCUGCCCUCUGGGCGUAGGGGUUCGAGUCCCCUCUUCGGUA
rnacentral:tRNA from 1 species